rnacentral:rRNA from 1 species
GCAUCGAUGAAGAACGCAGCGAAACGCGAUAGGUAAUGUGAAUUGCAGAAUUCCGUGAAUCAUCGAAUCUUUGAACGCACCUUGCGCUCCAUGGCAUUCCGUGGAGCAUGCCUGUUUGAGUGCCGCGAAAUCUCCCACCCCUAGCGGUUGCCGCAAGGCGCCGCCGGGCGGCGGGGUUGGUUGGGUGCCGCUGCCUGGGCUUUGGCCCAGGCUCGCCCGAAAUGCAUGAGCGCUUAGCACUCGCACCGUCUCGAGGGAAGGCGGCGGAGCUGGCAUCUGCGCAUGGCAUGAUACGUCAUUUGCUGUGUGGCAGCCCAGCGACCCGAGAGUGUGUGUGCGCUACUACACGCCCUUUCAUUUCUGGUCUCAAAUCAGGUAGGAUCACCCGCUGAACUUAAGCAUAUCAAUAAGCGGAGGA